rnacentral:rRNA from 1 species
AGUGAACGCUGGCGGUAGGCCUAACACAUGCAAGUCGAACGGCAGCACAGUAAGAGCUUGCUCUUACGGGUGGCGAGUGGCGGACGGGUGAGGAAUACAUCGGAAUCUACUUUUUCGUGGGGGAUAACGUAGGGAAACUUACGCUAAUACCGCAUACGACCUACGGGUGAAAGCAGGGGAUCUUCGGACCUUGCGCGAUUGAAUGGGCCGAUGUCGGAUUAGCUAGUUGGCGGGGUAAAGGCCCACCAAGGCGACGAUCCGUAGCUGGUCUGAGAGGAUGAUCAGCCACACUGGAACUGGGACACGGUCCAGACUCCUACGGGAGGCAGCAGUGGGGAAUAUUGGACAAUGGGCGCGAGCCUGAUCCAGCCGUACCGCGUGGGUGAAGAAGGCCUUCGGGUUGUAAAGCCCUUUUGUUGGGAAAGAAAAGCAGCAGGUUAAUACCCCGCUGUUCUGACGGUACCCAAAGAAUAAGCACCGGCUAACUUCGUG